CAAAGCUCACAUAGUCCUGCAGCAACUGGAACCACAUCAAUACAAAGGGCCUUCCUAUUGGUUGAACUUAACUGGAAGCCAGAGAGCAAGGGAACUCACUGAGCAGUCCAGACGGCAGCCGGCGGGCACACAAAGCAGCCUGGAGAGGAGUGAAGAGUGGACCCGAAGGGCCCGAGCACAUCCUGUGGAAUUGAAAUGCAGUGUGAAAAGGAAACGUUUGCCAACCCCCGGACUUGAACACAGGCCGCGACAGCAGAGUCAGGGUUCAUAGUCACCACAUUGUGGACUUGUCCAUCAUACCGGGAAUAAGGAGCUCCGAAGGAUUUUAAGCAGGAGAAAGGUCAUUCUGGCAGCCACAUGGUAAAUGGAACAGAAGAAAGAUGCCUGAUGAAAGGGAAGCCAACUAGGAGAUAUUUUGUGACAGUGAUUAAAGUGCUUUUCCUCUCUGACACCAGGUUCUCUGUCUAUAAAAUGGGUGUGAUAAUUCACACAAAGUUCUCUGUGGGUCAGAGGAAAGAGUGUCUUAACUGUGAAAGCACUAUAACAAUUCAAGGUAUGAUGAUUUUUUUUGC
rnacentral:lncRNA from 1 species